UACGUAGGGUGCAAGCGUUAAUCGGAAUUACUGGGCGUAAAGCGUGCGCAGGCGGUGAUGUAAGACAGGUGUGAAAUCCCCGGGCUUAACCUGGGAACUGCAUUUGUGACUGCAUCGCUGGAGUGCGGCAGAGGGGGAUGGAAUUCCGCGUGUAGCAGUGAAAUGCGUAGAUAUGCGGAGGAACACCGAUGGCGAAGGCAAUCCCCUGGGCCGAUACUGACGCUGAGGAGCGAAAGCGUGGGAGCGAACAGG
rnacentral:rRNA from 1 species